rnacentral:rRNA from 1 species
GAUGAACGCUGGCGGCGUGCUUAACACAUGCAAGUCGAACGGAAAGGCCAUACCUUUCUGUGGUACUCGAGUGGCGAACGGGUGAGUAACACGUGAGUGAUCUGCCCUGUACUUCGGGAUAAGCUCGGGAAACUGGGGCUAAUACCGGAUAGGAAUCACAUCUGGGUGUGUGGUUGGAAAGCUUUUGCGGUAUGGGAUGGGCUCGCGGCCUAUCAGCUUGUUGGUGGGGUAAUGGCCUACCAAGGCGUCGACGGGUAGCCGGCCUGAGAGGGUGUACGGCCACAUUGGGACUGAGAUACGGCCCAGACUCCUACGGGAGGCAGCAGUGGGGAAUAUUGCACAAUGGGCGGAAGCCUGAUGCAGCAACGCCGCGUGGGGGAUGACGGCCUUCGGGUUGUAAACCGCUUUCGUCAGGGACGAAGCGAAAGUGACGGUAACUGGAAAAGAAGCACCGGCUAACUACGUG